UCUUGGUCAUUUAGAGGAAGUAAAAGUCGUAACAAGGUU
rnacentral:rRNA from 1 species